CAAAUGAACCUUUUGGAGCUUUGCCUGACUCAGCUGAGAAACAGUAUGCUGAAUUUGUGAUUAAAUGUCAACAUUUAGAUGAACAAGAGAGAGACAUUGAACAAUUACUAAAUACCGGUCAGGAUUUGAUUGACCAUUGUAAGUCUGCGCAUGAUGUCCAGGACAUUACUGACCAUGUGAAAAGAUUAAAGGAGAGAUGGACAGAUACAAAAGAUAGAGCCAGAAAACGAAAGG
rnacentral:sRNA from 1 species